CCUACGGGAGACUGCAGUCGAGAAUCAUUCACAAUGGGGGAAACCCUGAUGGGGCGACGCCGCGUGGGGGAAUGAAGGUCUUCGGAUUGUAAACCCCUGUCAUGUGGGAGCAAAUUAAAAAGAUAGUACCACAAGAGGAAGAGACGGCUAACUCUGGGCCAGCAGCCGCGGUAAUACAGAGGUCUCAAGCGUUGUUCGGAAUCACGGGGCGUAAAGCGUGCGUAGGCUGUUUCGUAUGUCGUGUGUGAAAGGCGCGGGCUCAACCCGCGGACGGCACAUGAUACUGCGAGACUAGGGUAAUGGCGGGGGAACCGGACUUCUCGGUGUAGCCGU
rnacentral:rRNA from 1 species